rnacentral:rRNA from 1 species
GGGGAAUCUUGCGCAAUGGGCGGAAGCCUGACGCAGCAACGCCGCGUGAGGGAUGACGGCCUUCGGGUUGUAAACCUCUUUCGCGAUCGACGAAGGUCCAUUUUUGGGUGGGCUGACGGUGGGUCGAGAAGAAGCACCGGCCAACUACGUGCCAGCAGCCGCGGUAAUACGUAGGGUGCGAGCGUUGUCCGGAAUUAUUGGGCGUAAAGAGCUCGUAGGCGGUGUGUCACGUCGGCCGUGAAAACCUGGGGCUCAACUCUGGGCGUGCGGUCGAUACGGGCAUCACUAGAGUUCGGCAGGGGAGACUGGAAUUCCUGGUGUAGCGGUGAAAUGCGCAGAUAUCAGGAGGAACACCGGUGGCGAAGGCGGGUCUCUGGGCCGAUACUGACGCUGAGGAGCGAAAGCAUGGGUAGCGAAC